UGGGGAAUAUUGCACAAUGGGCGCAAGCCUGAUGCAGCAACGCCGCGUGAGGGAUGACGGCCUUCGGGUUGUAAACCUCUUUUAGUAGGGAAGAAGCGAAAGUGACGGUACCUGCAGAAAAAGCACCGGCUAACUACGUGCCAGCAGCCGCGGUAAUACGUAGGGUGCAAGCGUUGUCCGGAAUUAUUGGGCGUAAAGAGCUCGUAGGCGGUUUGUCGCGUCUGCUGUGAAAUCCCGAGGCUCAACCUCGGGCCUGCAGUGGGUACGGGCAAACUAGAGUGUGGUAGGGGAGAUUGGAACUCCUGGUGUAGCGGUGGAAUGCGCAGAUAUCAGGAAGAACACCGAUGGCGAAGGCAGAUCUCUGGGCCAUUACUGACGCUGAGGAGCGAAAGCGUGGGGAGCGAACAGG
rnacentral:rRNA from 1 species